GACGAACGCUGGCGGCGUGCUUAACACAUGCAAGUCGAACGAAGAGCGAUGGAAGCUUGCUUCUAUCAAUCUUAGUGGCGAACGGGUGAGUAACGCGUAAUCAACCUGCCCUUCAGAGGGGGACAACAGUUGGAAACGACUGCUAAUACCGCAUACGAUCUAACCUCGGCAUCGAGGAUAGAUGAAAGGUGGCCUCUACAUGUAAGCUAUCACUGAAGGAGGGUAUUGCGUCUGAUUAGCUAGUUGGAGGGGUAACGGCCCACCAAGGCGAUGAUCAGUAGCCGGUCUGAGAGGAUGAACGGCCACAUUGGGACUGAGACACGGCCCAGACUCCUACGGGAGGCAGCAGUGGGGAAUCUUCCGCAAUGGACGAAAGUCUGACGGAGCAACGCCGCGUGAGUGAUGACGGCCUUCGGGUUGUAAAGCUCUGUUAAUCGGGACGAAAGGCCUUCUUGCGAAUAGUGAGAAGGAUUGACGGUACCGGAAUAGAAAGCCACGGCUAACUACGUG
rnacentral:rRNA from 1 species